CGUUCAGAUUCUACAGUUGGACGAGCAGUGUGGAGCGGGCUGAGGGCUUCUCUGCGCGGUGUAUAUGGGGAUUGUAAGCUUGUGUGGCCCAGGAUAGGCUCUUGAAGUGUAGCCUGACAAGGCAGGGUCCUUGCACCACGCAGGGUCCGCUGAGAGAGUUUGGUCUUAAGUGACCAGCUUUGACUGGAAUAAAUAGGAAUUACUGACUGAAGCCUAUAAUAAAAUGAUAUUUUUAGCGUUAGUUUCACGUUUUGUCUCAUUAUGUAGAAUUUGCUCCGUGGCUCUUGGUAAUGCAGAUCAAUAAUUUUAAUUCUGAAUUAAUAAGUCCAUAAUUUUUACUCCAAAGUAAUGGAUCCAUAAUCUUUAUUCCAGAAUCAUGGGCAUCUGUUUGACAAUGCUCGCUCUGAGCUACAAGACGUCCCUUAGGGUUACCUGAAGCAACAGUGCUGCUUUGACAGAAGUAGUUUGUUAGUUCUGUUGUGGUUUCCAUAUGAGUGGAAACCUUCUGCUUUGAAGGUGGCUUUUUUUGUUUUUUUAUUAUUUUUAAUGAAAUCUGAUGCUUUGGAAUGCAGCAAGCACAGGGUGACUUCUCCAGGGAGGGCAGUGAGCGGUGGUGUGUGGUACAGGUAAGGCUCUGAAGGUUUAAUAAGGCUUAAAGCACACGAAGCAUGUUUAGAAUUGAUUGUGGGGGGAAGCUCUGGAGUUCUGGUGUUGGGAUCUGGGUUCUAAAUAUAAAGGUGCUUGAGGGUGUAUAAAAAAUGUGUAAAAGUUUGAGGCAUUUAAUACUGAGGAAACUUUGACACUGUGCUGGGGUUCUGCUUCAUGCUGAGGGUAAACU